rnacentral:rRNA from 1 species
CCAAUAGCGUAUAUUAAAGUUGUUGCAGUUAAAAAGCUCGUAGUUGAAUUUCGGGGUUAGCAGGUUGGUCGUGCCAAUGGUAUGCACUGGCCUUGCUGAUUCCUCCCUCUUGAUGAGCCGUAAUGCCAUUAAUUUGGUGUUGCGGGGAAUCAGGACUGUUACUUUGAAAAAAUUAGAGUGUUUAAAGCAGGCAAGCGCUUGAAUACAUUAGCAUGGAAUAAUGAAAUAGGACGUUUAAUCCUAUUUUGUUGGUUUCUAGGAUUGACGUAAUGAUUAAUAGGGAUAGUUGGGGGCAUUAGUAUUCAAUUGUCAGAGGUGAAAUUCUUGGAUUUAUUGAAGACUAACUACUGCGAAAGCAUUUGCCAAGGAUGUUUUCAUUAAUCAAGAACGAAAGUUAGGGGAUCGAAGACGAUCAGAUACCGUCGUAGUCUUAACCAUAAACUAUGCCGACUAGGGAUCGGAUGAUGUUAAUUUUUUAAUGACUCAUUCGGCGCCUUACG